CGUAGUUCAGUUGGUUAGAGCGUCAGAUUGUGGUUCUGAAUGUCGUGGGUUCGAGUCCCACCG
rnacentral:tRNA from 4 species